rnacentral:rRNA from 1 species
ACGGGAGGCAGCAGUGAGGAAUAUUGGUCAAUGGGCGGAGGCCUGAACCAGCCAAGUCGCGUGAAGGACGAAGGUAUUAUGUAUUGUAAACUUCUUUAGACGCAGAGAAAUAAGGGGAUCGUGAUCCCUGAUGCUAGUAUGCGUAGAAUAAGGAUCGGCUAACUCCGUGCCAGCAGCCGCGGUAAUACGGAGGAUCCGAGCGUUAUCCGGAUUUAUUGGGUUUAAAGGGAGCGUAGGUGGAAGUGUAAGUCAGCCGUCAAAUUGCGCAGCUCAACUGCGUCCAGCGGUUGAAACUGCACUUCUUGAGUGCACAAGAGGAAGGUGGAAUUCGUGGUGUAGCGGUGAAAUGCUUAGAUAUCACGAAGAACUCCGGUUGCGAAGGCAGCCUUCUGGGGUGCAACUGACACUGAGGCUCGAAGGUGCGGGUAUCAAACAGGAUUAGAUACCCUGGUA